UCGAACGUAAGCUUCGGGCUUAGUGGCGCACGGGUGCGUAACGCGUGGGAAUCUGCCUCUUGCUUCGGAAUAACAGUGGGAAACUACUGCUAAUACCGGAUGAUGUCUUCGGACCAAAGAUUUAUCGGCAAGAGAUGAGCCCGCGUAGGAUUAGGUAGUUGGUGGGGUAAAGGCCUACCAAGCCGACGAUCCUUAGCUGGUCUGAGAGGAUGAUCAGCCACACUGGGACUGAGACACGGCCCAGACUCCUACGGGAGGCAGCAGUGGGGAAUAUUGGACAAUGGGGGCAACCCUGAUCCAGCAAUGCCGCGUGAGUGAUGAAGGCCUUAGGGUUGUAAAGCUCUUUUACCAGGGAUGAUAAUGACAGUACCUGGAGAAUAAGCUCCGGCUAACUCCGUGCCANNAGCCGNGGUAAUACAGGAGAGGAGCUAGCGUAUGUACGNGAAUUACUGGGCGUAAAGCGCACGUAGAGCAGGUNUACUCAAGUCAAGAGGUGAAAGCCCAGGGGCUCAACCACCGGAACUGCCUUUGAAACUAAGGUAACUAGAAUCCUGNAGAGGUNGAGUGGAAUACCGAGUGUAGAGGUGANAAUUCGUAAGAUAUACGGAAGAACG
rnacentral:rRNA from 1 species